rnacentral:rRNA from 1 species
GAUGAACGCUGGCGGCGUGCCUAAUACGUGCAAGUCGAGCGAACGGACGAGAAUCUUGCUUCUCUGAUGUUAUCGGCGGACGGGUGAGUAACACGUGUAUAACCUACCUAUAAGACUUGGAUAACUUCGGGAAACCGUAGCUAAUACCGGAUAAUAUUUUGAACCGCAUGGUUCAAAAGUGAAAGACGGUCUUGCUGUCACUUAUAGAUUGAUCCGCGCUGCAUUAGCUAGUUGGUAAGUUAACGGCUUACCAAGGCAACGAUGCAUAGCCGACCUGAGAGGGUGAUCGGACACACGGGAACUGAGACACGGUCAAGACAACUACGGGAGGCAGCAGUAGGGAAUCUUACGCAAUGGGCGAAAGCAUGACGGAGCAACGCCGCGUGAGUGAUGAAGGUCUUCGGAUCGUAAAACUCUGUUAUUAGGGAAGAACAUAUGUGUAAGUAACUGUGAACAUAUUGACGGUAACUAAUCAGAAAGCAACGGCUAACUACGUG